GGAGAGGUGGCAGAGUGGUUGAAUGCAGUUGCCUGCUAAGCAACUGAUCUGAGAAAUCGGAUCCUCGGGUUCAAAUCCCGACCUCUCCG
rnacentral:tRNA from 1 species